UACGGGGGGGACUAGUGUUAUUCGGAAUGACUGGGCGUAAAGGGUGUGUAGGCGGUCUAAAAAGUUGAAAGUGAAAUCUCAAAGCUUAACUUUGAAAGUGCUUUCAAAACUGUUAGACUAGAGUAUGAGAGAGGAUAGUGGAAUUUCUAGUGUAGAAAUAAAAUCCAUAGAUAUUAGAAGGAACACCGAAAGCGAAGGCAGCUAUCUGGCUCAAAACUGACGCUGAUACACGAAAGCAUGGGGAGCAAACAGG
rnacentral:rRNA from 1 species